rnacentral:rRNA from 1 species
CUGACAUCUCACGACACGAGCUGACGACAGCCAUGCAGCACCUGUGCUAGCUCCCCGAAGGGUCGUUCCGCUUUCGCUUCACUACCACUAGCAUGUCAAACCCUGGUAAGGUUCUUCGUGUAGCCUCGAAUUAAACCACACGCUCCGCUGCUUGUGCGGGGACCCGUCAAUUCCUUUGAGUUUUAGCCUUGCGGCCGUAGUCCCCAGGCGGCCAACUUAACGCGUUAGCUACAGCACAGAAGGGGUCAAUAACCU